rnacentral:rRNA from 1 species
GUGAGGAAUAUUGGUCAAUGGGCGGGAGCCUGAACCAACCAAGUCGCGUGAAGGAAGAAGGAUCUAUGGUUCGUAAACUUCUUUUGCAGGGGAAUAAAGUGCAGGACGUGUCCUGUUUUGUAUGUACCCUGAGAAUAAGGAUCGGCUAACUCCGUGCCAGCAGCCGCGGUAAUACGGAUGAUCCGAGCGUUAUCCGGAUUUAUUGGGUUUAAAGGGUGCGUAGGCGGUUUGAUAAGUCAGCGGUGAAAGUUUGCAGCUUAACUGUAAAAAUGCCGUUGAAACUGUCGGACUUGAGUGUAAAUGAGGUAGGCGGAAUGCGUGGUGUAGCGGUGAAAUGCAUAGAUAUCACGCAGAACUCCGAUUGCGAAGGCAGCUUACUAAGCUACAACUGACACUGAAGCACGAAAGCGUGGGGAUCAAACAGGAUUAGAUACCCGGGUAGUCC